CCGCUGGCAUGCUAAGGCCCUGGAAAGAAAGCUUCUAGCAUGCCUACAGGGGACACACUUACUGCCUAGCUCCCUGUAAAGAACAGCUCUGGAGACACAAACAUCUCCAGCAAGGCUCGCCUUGAACUCUUCAGCUUCCUGCUCCCACCUUUUGAGUGCUGAGAUUUAUAGGUGUGUCCAUCACGCCAGGCAUCAAGCAACCGAGCACUUCAUAUGUGCCAAGCACUGCCCUAUGCUCCACUGACUACAGAGCUGAAGGCUGUCUUUCUUGGGGUGGAUGCCGUCGGGGAAGAUGUCUCAGAAGGGAUGCAUGAGAAUGCAGGCCUUGUUGGGACAGCUGGAAAUUCCCUGCUAAAGGAUAACAGAAAAUGACAAGUCUGAAUUCUCAAGUCUGAAUCCUGAGUGCAGUUGCUUGUUCUUUGUCUCUGUAUGAGUGCUGGGGACUGAACCCUCACAUCUGUGAGUCAGGGAAGCCACUGAUGAGCUGUGUACCUGCCCCUCCACAGCUUAAAGAGUAGCAUCUUCCUCGAUGAGGCUGGAGGCCAGCUCGAACCCCUACUAGCCUGCUUUCCUCACCCUCUCAGGUAGAAAAAGAGCUCCCCACAAGGUGUGGGCUGAGCAGUCUCCCUAGACUCCAAGUGGCUGGCCACAUCAUUCCGAAAGUUCCUCGACCAUCAAGGGGUUUCCAGUUACUUCAUACAGGUCCCUGUCCCUGUUCCGCACUCCUGGCGAAAUAAAACAUUCCCAUGAAACUCAGG